rnacentral:rRNA from 1 species
UACGUAGGCAGCAAGCGUUGUUCGGAGUUACUGGGCGUAAAGGGUGUGUAGGCGGUUGGAUAAGCGUGCGGUGAAAGCUCGGGGCUCAACCCCGAGUCGGCCGUGCGAACUGGGCUCACUGGAGCAUAGUAGAGGCAGGUGGAAUUCCGGGUGUAGCGGUGGAAUGCGCAGAUAUCAGGAGGAACACCAAUGGCGAAGGCAGCUCGCUGGAACGGUACUGACGCUGAGGCGCGAAAGCGUGGGGAGCGAACAGG